GUUGUCCAUCUCCACCACCCUGACCUGUGGCAGGCGCUAAGCUCAUGAACGGUUGAACAUCACAUACCAAGAGUGACAUCCAAUUAAAAAAAAAAAAGCCUGCAGUCUGGGUCUGUCUUGGAAGCAAGAAAAAUGAAAAACUGCUAAUCAAAGAAUUCAUUGAGAACACUUCAGGCACUGUGCUGAGUACUAACUGAAGAUGUGAGAAGAUAAGGCCCUGAUGUAUCCUUUAUUUCAAAAUUCUGGGCCGCCACUCGUACUGCCUGGCACGUCUGGACAGCCCUCUUCAGAUGUCAGGCUGAAAAUACCAGCAACCAUCUUUCAUCUGAAUCAAGUUUCCCUCAGUCACCUUAGAUUCACUGAGCAGAUCCUGCCCAGCACGCGUCCUCCUGGCUACCUGAGGUGCAGCAGUGCAUGGAAUGGACAAGCAGGCCAGCCUCAGGAAACUUGUGUCCCUGUGACCUCCAGACCCAUCAAGCACCCAGAGACUAACAGCCAUGCACCUCUCCGCCCACGGCCAAGAUAGCUUCCUGCAGAUUUCACUCCGCUCUGCAGACAAGCAUUCUCUCCUCCUCAGCCCUUCCUCUCCCUGAGCCCUCAAACUGGCUUUGGUGCCAAAGGUCAUCUGUGUGACCUCCAGCUCCUGGGUUAGAUGGACGUUCUGAGAAGGCAGAGCAUUGCUUGCUUUUUCCCAUCAUUAGUGGAAUAGCCUCAAAUUAUGUACCUGUUACAUCACUGUAUCUGUAUUCCCCUCCCUAACCCUCCCUCUGUCUCUGGAUCCCCUUCCGUUCGCAAUAGACCUAUCACCCUGUUUCCUACUGUCUGUCUUUAUUUUUUGUUUUGGUACGUGUUGGCCACACACAAUGAUCACAUCCACCAUAGGGAAUUUGUACCUGUGCAUAGCAUAUUUUAAUUCUUCUUUUUUUCAAUACUUCUUCCUUUCCCCAUUUCCAAAAGCUUUGUUUACAAUUUUUCUUUCCCUUUCUCUAAUCCCUUUUCUCUUCCUUCCCGUCCCCCUCCCCUCUCCCUUGUUUCCCUGUCUUUAAUUUUGUUCUUUAAAUUAUUUGUAUUAUGAGUUUUCCAUAUAAAAGAAACCAUGCAAUAUUUA
rnacentral:lncRNA from 1 species